CCCUUCGAUGUUCUGGGCCGCACGCGCGCUACACUGAUACAAUCAGCGAGUUGUCAGUUUGCUGAAGACCUGUGCCGAGAGGCACGGGGAACCUUGUGAAAUUGUAUCGUGAUAGGGCUUGACGAUUGUAAUUAUUUGUCACAAACGAGGAAUUCCUAGUAAGCGCAAGUCAUCAACUUGCACUGAUUACGUCCCUGCCCUUUGUACACACCGCCCGUCGCUCCUACCGAUUGAAUGUCGAGUCGAACGCUCUGGAGCCUGGAUUCUGCUCGGGUGACCGUGUGGGUCCGUUGGUGAAAUUGUGUGAGACUUGGGAUUUAGAGGAAGGAAAAGUCGUAACA
rnacentral:rRNA from 1 species